rnacentral:rRNA from 1 species
GACGAACCGUGCGAACGUUAUUCGGAAUCACUGGGCUUAAAGGGCGCGUAGGCGGGCCCGCCAGUCAGGGGUGAAAUCCCACGGCCCAACCGUGGAAGUGCCUUUGAUACUGCGGGCCUCGAGGGGGAUAGGGGCGUGCGGAACUCAGGGUGGAGCGGUGAAAUGCGUAGAUAUCCUGAGGAACACCGGUGGCGAAAGCGGCGCGCUGGAUCCCUUCUGACGCUGAGGCGCGAAAGCCAGGGGAGCAAACGGG